AUUGAAAAGCAAUUUCUUUGCCAAUUCAUUUGUCUAGUAUAUAGUUAUAUCUCUAUCCACAAUAUAUAUAUUGUGUUACUGUUCACAAGCCUUUGGGUCGGCUCACUCGCAAGCCAAAUUUUAGGCCGGCUCACCUAGUGGGGGAGGCAUUGGAAAUACAAAUAUCAGUGUGUGUUUGUUGCCUUGGAAAUACAGAAAUCUGAAAAAUCUUCUUCUUCUAUGUUCGAUUUUCAUUUUCAUUCUCAUUUUCGCUCGACAAAAGGAAACCCUAGCGCCGUUUAAUCUGUUCUCUUAGCAACAACCAUACUGCCGUGUCCUUCAACGAUAUGUUCUGACACAAAUCAUUCACCCUUCGCCUGACUCUGCGAAGAAGCGAGUUUUCUGCCAGUCUUUGUUAUUUUCUUCAACUUUAUUUAAGGUUGAUUUUGAUUGAACUUCACUUAUGCAAGCAGGAGCGAUGUUGGGCGAUGCUUUUCUUCACCAAUUGCCACAUGCUUUUGGUACAUAUGCAAAACAAGCUAAUGCCUAUGUUUUGUAAUUAAUUGAUGCUAAAAGUUCUGUUGUUUUCCUCACUUGUGAAUUAAAGCUUUUUUAUUUUUUAGUUGUUUAAUCUAAGCUAGUGUUCUAAUUCCAUUUCUUGGCAUAAAUAAAGUUUUGGUCAGUGAAUAGCCGUGCUGAAUGGAAAACUAAAAGAAAAAAUAGAAAAAUAUUAGGAAUGAAGUCGAAAUAGAGUUUUUUUCCUCUUCUUCUGGUUCGGAUAAAUAGGUAGUACCUGUAUGUCCCACAAAAUGUGUGAAUAAAAAGUGGUUUGACCGAUUAUAAAUUUAUAAACAUUAGCCAAACAUGGGCUAACACUUGUGCAAUGGGGGGUAUUGAAUUUUGAGACAAAUAAAUCACAUUCUGUUGCUGAAUGUACUAAAUAUCACCUUGACAAUACCUUUUAAUGAACUAAUUCUUUUCCAUAUGGCAUAAUAAACUUUGCUCAAUAUUGAAUAUUUUGUUGAUUCUAUACACCCAGAAAUGUUUUGUUCCCAUGACAAAAAAUAUAAUGCCCAUUAAAUAUUAUGUAAUAUUUAUAUUUCUUUCUUUUCUUUGGUGAUGUGAAGUAGAGAUGCAGGGAGAAUGGAUACUGCACCAACUUUAAUAAUUUUGAUUUGAAUAUGUUUACAGACCAUCACUUGUUUGUGAGCAAAAUUACAUGAGAUAUGAAAAUUAUGUGAAAGGAAACAAGAUAAUUUUUACUCUAAGAAGCUCAUGCUUUUGAUUGCUUUCUUCUUUACGUUCUCUUGUGAAUACGUAGUAUCACAAGACUUUACAAUAUUUUAAUUUCGAGCAACUUAAUAAAAAGUUAACGCAGAUUAUAUUAAUCAUUGACCACAAGUAGAAUGUCUCCUUAUGGAAAAGUUAGUAUGAGUCUGUGAUCUCAGUUUUUAGCAGUCAUGUAUAAUACAUAUUUUUUCUGCUGGUUUACGAGUGUGUGUUUCAUAUGUAGACCCCGUGUACCAAUUGAAUUAAGAUGUUAUGUUAACAUAGAUUUGUCAUAUGUUUUUUUAUAUAGCACGGUGGGACUUCAGCUGGUGAAACUGUUAAGUUAAUAAAUUUGUGCCUUGGAGAGAAGAUAUCAUUUUCUUUUCCUUUCUGGUCUCUACUUCCAGCUUGAUUUCCCGAUCUGAAGAAGCUACUUGAUUUUGCAAAAUAUAAUUCACUUUAUUGUACUUUGCUUUCAUACCUUUUAUUGUUUCUAUUUUAUUCCUGCAUGUGGUGAGCACUCCCAUUCUCAUGAUCACCAUGAUGAGAAUGCUCAUGGUCACAUACAUGUUGGAUAGUCGCAUUCACAUUCCUUGAAAGAUCUCUGUUGGAUUGUCAGUCUUGUGUAAGUAUAAUUAUGUGAGUUACAUGCUUUCCAUCUUUCCUAUCUCCCCACUGCCCUCCAGAAAAUAUUUUUUUAGCAUGUAUAGAAGCACAACUGUUGGUUUAUAUUGUCAUUAACCAUUCCUAUUACUAUAUUUGAUAGAUGUUCAGUAUAAUGUUGUUGAAGGCCAGGUUCUUAUUACUAGAGAAGGCUGUGAUGGAACAUGUGAAAAGAACACGAUAUUUGUUCUUUGUGGAAAUUUUGUAUAUCAUUCACCCGUUUUAUUCCUUUUACCAUAAGCAUUGUUCUUGCUCCAUAAUCAUGGCAUAGUAAAACUAUGGCAAGUAUAUCAUGAUUGUGAAACAUAGGGCUAUCAUGGCUGUGGUGGACUAUCAUUUAAGGCUUAAGCUGGGUGGAGUGUGGUUUCAAAUGCUUAAUGUAUCUAAGUUUUGGGCUUCUCGGAAGAAAUAAGGAUUGAAGUUUAGACUGUUCGUAUAAGGAGCUUCAAACAUUUUAGGAGCUCAAUAUUAUGGAAUUAGGCUUUGAAAGGCCCACGUCCGUUGUUUGGAUAUUCUCGUGAACUUCAAGUAAUUGCAAAGACAUCCAUCAGGCCCGUGCUUGGCAAUUUUUGAAAGAUAAAAAUAUCAUUGACCUGGGAAAAUCUUAAAUCAGGCAUACGGCACAUGAGACUACUUAAAUUAGUUUCAGCACAUCGUAAUGAUCAUCUGGCUGCCUCAUUAAGGUCCGUAUCCAAUAAACUAAAAGCAAAAGAGCCCUAGUUUGAGAGAGAGGAAGAAGAAUGCAGAACACAAGAAAGGAAGACAAAUCUAAUGCAGAUGUACACUACAUCGCUGAUCCAUAACUCAGAAAAUUUAUGGACAUAGCAAACUUCAUGUUUCUGGUCAGAUAAUCACCUAAAGUUUAUAAAGCCUCUUGUACCUUUAUUUAUAAACUUAUUCACAAAAAUGUGGCUACUCAGGAAUCAGGAUGUACCUAUAGUUUUAUUUCUACUAGGGUACGUCGUUCUUCUACAUCAUCUUCUAUUAAAUAUCUUUAAAAAAAACGAAUUUCUUUCUGAGAUCCCAACCGAGCAAGUUUUUACUAUUAGCUUUAUGUUCGAAGAGCUAAAAGGUUAUGAGCUAAGCCCAUGUAUGUUUAUGUGUAUUCCCACAGUUCAACGCACCUCAUUCCCAACAUCUCUACUUGUCUUACUACAUUUUGUUCAUUGUACAUAUUAACAUGUUAAUAUCCAUGUAACUAAGUAUGGCUUAUAAGUGCUACAUAUUACUACCCCCAAUGUAAGUACCUGUAAACAAAUAUUUUAUAUAAUCCAAUUUAAUCAUCAUUCAAAACAAGUUUCACUCUUAAUUCAAAUACUACAUAACGAAAUUAUAACACUAUUACUUACACUACAUCACCCACUAACACAUGUAACGCACGUGCCUUCACUAGUAUUCACAGUAAAAAAAUUUCUUUGGUUGAAAAAAUUAUGACCUAAUCAUAUUUCUCAUACUUCAGAAUGCACCUUGGAAGAGAACUCUUUCAGGUUGAUUCACAAAUCAGCGAUGCUGUUCUGAAACAACUUUGGCACCAUACAGAUGCUACUAUGUGCUGCUCUGUCCAAAUGAACAUUAGCGAACUUCUAGUACUUUUUUGUUGUAUUCACUUUACUGUUAUUGAUAAUGUGAUUUCUGUUCUAGGCAGCUGCAGUUUUCACAUUUGCAAACCAGGCCGGCCUUGACAUGCUAGAAACUACUCCGUUAGCCCUUAAAGAUAUAAUACUCGAGAAGAUUCUGGAUGAAGCAUUUUACACCACUGUACUAAGAUAAACCUCUUGGUGUUGGGAUUUGUGGAGCCUAAUUUCAAGUACAUUUUUUUCUUGGCAGCAAAUCAAAAUCAUGUAUGUGUUAUGAGAGUACUUUGAGAAAUUUGCCUGUGUACUAGGUCGUUUUAAUAUUUUUCUCCUAUAUAAAGAGUCUUAGAGCGAACCUCAAUUCUUUAUAUCUUUUUUUAUUCUUUCAUUUUUUCCUAUUUGCUCUUGGUAAUACAGCUCUUCUGUUUAAUCCAUAACAUCUAGUUAUAA